rfam:Ciona savignyi cont_7471, whole genome shotgun sequence.
UCUAAAAACACAUUCUAGAUUGAAUAUACCCAAUCUCGUCUGAUCUCGGAAGUCAAGCAAUCUCGGGCUUGGUUAGUUGGAUGGGUGACCGCUUGGGAAUACCAAGUGUGAUAAGCA